rnacentral:snoRNA from 1 species
GCAUGGACGAAUUCUGUUUUACUUUGUCAGUAGUGAAUGCAGUCAGACACCAUGCAAAAAACAUUUUCACUCCUAGUACUCUAAAGGAUGAGUGCUUCCCAGUGCCUUAUCUCCUUCACAUCAUAGUGAAUACAAUG